rnacentral:rRNA from 1 species
UACGUAGGGUGCGAGCGUUGUCCGGAAUUACUGGGCGUAAAGAGCUCGUAGGUGGUUUGUCGCGUUGUCCGUGAAAACUCACAACUCAAUUGUGGGCGUGCGGGCGAUACGGGCAGACUGGAGUACUGCAGGGGAGACUGGAAUUCCUGGUGUAGCGGUGAAAUGCGCAGAUAUCAGGAAGAACACCCGUGGCUAAGGCGGCUCUCUAGUACGUGACUGACGCUGAGACGCGAAAGCGUGGGGAGCGAACAGG